AUGGCGGCAUCUGAAAAGCCAUUAAAAGAGUAAGAA
rfam:Chryseobacterium gleum ATCC 35910 genomic scaffold SCAFFOLD2, whole genome shotgun sequence.